ACACAUCUCGAACCCGGAAGUUAAGGCUGUUAGCGCCGAUGGUACUUGGGGGGCGACCCCCCGGGAGAGUAGGUCAUUGCCAAGA
rnacentral:rRNA from 1 species